AUUGAACGCUGGCGGCAGGCCUAACACAUGCAAGUCGAACGAGUUGCGGACGUGUGAGUAAUGUUUGGGACACUGCCUGAUGGCGUGGGAUAACUACUGGAAACUGUAGCUAAUACCGCAUACCAUCGGAUGUGCCCUGAUUGGAUUAGCUAGUUGGUGGGGUAAAGGCGCACCUAGCCGACGAUCCCUAGCUGGUCUUAGAGGAUGGCCAGCCCCACUGGAACUGAGACACGGCCCAGACGCCUACGGUAGGCAGCAGUGGGGAAUAUUGCACAAUGGGCGCAACCCUGAUGCAGCCAUGGCGCGUGUAUGAAGAAGGUCUUCGGGUUGUAAAGUACUUUCAGCGGGGAGGCGUUAACCGCAGAAGAAGCACCGGCUAACUCCGUGCCAGCAGCCGCGGUAAUAC
rnacentral:rRNA from 1 species